rnacentral:snRNA from 1 species
AUCCUUUAGACCUUCGGA